rnacentral:rRNA from 1 species
CGUAACAAGGUCUCCGUAGGUGAACCUGCGGAGGGAUCAUUACACAAAUAUGAAGGCGGGCUGGAACCUCUCGGGGUUACAGCCUUGCUGAAUUAUUCACCCUUGUCUUUUGCGUACUUCUUGUUUCCUUGGUGGGUUCGCCCACCACUAGGACAAACAUAAACCUUUUGUAAUUGCAAUCAGCGUCAGUAACAAAUUAAUAAUUACAACUUUCAACAACGGAUCUCUUGGUUCAGGCAUCGAUGAAGAACGCAGCGAAAUGCGAUAAGUAGUGUGAAUUGCAGAAUUCAGUGAAUCAUCGAAUCUUUGAACGCACAUUGCGCCCUUUGGUAUUCCAAAGGGCAUGCCUGUUCGAGCGUCAUUUGUACCCUCAAGCUUUGCUUGGUGUUGGGCGUCUUGUCACUAGCUUUGCUGGAGACUCGCCUUAAAGUAAUUGGCAGCCGGCCUACUGGUUUCGGAGCGCAGCACAAGUCGCACUCUCUAUCAGCAAAGGUCUAGCAUCCAUUAAGCCUUUUUUUCAACUUUUGACCUCGGAUCAGGUAGGGAUACCCGCUGAACUUAAGCAUAUCA